rnacentral:rRNA from 1 species
AGCGAACGCUGGCGGCGUACUUAACACAUGCAAGUCGAACGGGGAUCGUCGGGUUAGCAAUAAUUCGGCGGUCCUAGUGGCGUACGGGUGAGUAACACGUGGGCAACUUGCCCUAGAGACCGGGAUACCCUCUCGAAAGGGAGGCUAAUACUGGAUACGUUCUUCGGGUCGCAAGAUCUGGAGAGGAAAGGUGGCGCAAGCUACCGCUCUUGGAGAGGCUCGCGGCCUAUCAGCAGUUGGUGAGGUAAUGGCUCACCAAGGCUAUGACGGGUAGCUGGUCUGAGAGGACGACCAGCCACACGGGAACUGAGACACGGUCCCGACUCCUACGGGAGGCAGCAGUGGGAAUUUUCCGCAAUGGGCGAAAGCCUGACGGAGUGACGCCGCGUGGGGGACGAAGGCCUC